GUGUCAGCAGCCGCGGUAAUACCAGCUCUCCGAGUGGUAGGGACGAUUAUUGGGCUUAAAGCGUCCGUAGCCGGCUUAGCAAGUCUCCUGUUAAAUUCAGCGACCUAAUCGUUGAGCCGCGGGAGAUACUACUAGGCUAGGAGGCGGGAGAGGUCGACGGUACUUCCGGGGUAGGGGUGAAAUCCUAUAAUCCCGGGAGGACCACCAGUGGCGAAGGCUGUCGACUAGAACGCGCUCGACGGUGAGGGACGAAAGCUGGGGGAGCGAACCGGAUUAGAUACCCGGGUAGUCCCAGCCGUAAACGAUGCGGGCUAGGUGUUGGAGUGGCUACGUGCCACUUCAGUGCCGCAGGGAAGCCAUUAAGCCCGCCGCCUGGGGAGUACGGCCGCAAGGCUGAAACUUAAAUGAAUUGACGGGG
rnacentral:rRNA from 1 species